AUUGAACGCUGGCGGCAUGCCUUACACAUGCAAGUCGAACGGUAACGGGCCUUCGGGUGCCGACGAGUGGCGAACGGGUGAGUAAUGUAUCGGAACGUACCUUUCAGUGGGGGAUAACGUAGCGAAAGUUACGCUAAUACCGCAUAUUCUGUGCGCAGGAAAGCAGGGGAUCGCAAGACCUUGCGCUGAUUGAGCGGCCGAUAUCAGAUUAGCUAGUUGGUGAGGGAAAGGCUCACCAAGGCGACGAUCUGUAGCGGGUCUGGGAGGAUGAUCCGCCACACUGGAACUGAGACACGGUCCAGACUCCUACGGGAGGCAGCAGUGGGGAAUUUUGGACAAUGGGGGCAACCCUGAUCCAGCCAUGCCGCGUGAGUGAAGAAGGCCUUCGGGUUGUAAAGCUCUUUCGGCCGGGAAGAAAUCGCACGGGCUAAUACCCUGUGUGGAUGACGGUACCGGAAUAAGAAGCACCGGCUAACUACGUGCCAGCCGCCGCUGUAACAC
rnacentral:rRNA from 1 species